rnacentral:lncRNA from 1 species
GCUCUGAGGAGAUGCACUUAGGUGGGAAUGGCCCAUAGCACCAUUGGAUGCAUAUUGCAGCCUUUGCAGGAGUGUUUUGUGUAUCCUUGUGUGCUGUCAUUGGGGUGGCAAAAACCAAGUGCCAUGUUCAUAUUAGUGCCACAGAAAAUGCUAAGGCUUUGCUCUCUCUCAGGGUCAGCGAAAGCGCCCUGGAGAGGCGCUGGAUUCUACCCCAGCUCAGAAACGGAGCAGGCUGCUGCCCUCCAGAGCUGGUGGAACCUUGGAGACAGAGCCAAGAGAGGCUGUCAUAGAUCUCACAGGAGAUUCUCCAGAGCCUGAAGUCAUCACCAUCAGCGAUGAUGAAUCUCCUGUGCAGAGCCCGCAGCAGCCACAUCUUUCCAGGGCCUCGGACAAUUCACCUGAGCCACUGGAAAGGAACGAUGGAGAAGAACCAGGAGAAGAUGAUGGUGAUUGGCUGCUGUUUGAAUUUGAUCCUCCCUAUUGGUCGGAUGAGGACUCCCAGUACAGAGAGCAGAACCAGCAGCACUCUCAGCUUUCCAGAUUAGCUGAGAAUUCAGCUGGGCCCCUGACAACUCCUGAUGAAGAGGAACCAAGAGUUAAUGAUGGGGCACAGCCAGCAGAUCCUGCUAGUCCUCUGACUACGGAGGAUGACAACUCAGAGGAGCAGGACAGGGAGCUGAGUCAGCUGCACUCACAGGAUUCCAGGGAGGCAGAGAAUUCAGCUGAGCUCUGGCCAAGAGAUGAUGAGGAGGAAUCACGAGACAACGAUGAUGCAUGGACAGCAAGUCUCAUCAGUCCUCCAAGUCCUGAGGAUGACAACGCAGAGGACUGGGAGGAGAGCCAGCAGUAUCCAUCUGAUUCCAGAUCAGAUGAGAAUUCAAACCAAGUGCUGGCAGGCAGACUUCAACAGGAGCCAAGAGAUCUAGAAUUUGCACCGCCAGGAGGUCCCAUUAGUCCCCCAAAUUGGGAGGAUGACAACGCAGAGGUGAGGACCCACAUGUUGUUGUCAUUUCUGAUUUGUGGGAGGGGAAGGGAUAAAGAAGUGCUGCACAACUCACUUGUCUUAGGUGGGUGCCACGGGCAGCUGGCUGGAAGCACAGCCCUUGCUGGGAAGCUCCAAGUUGUCCAUUCCUGCAAGUCCCUCCUUGCUGGUGUCCAUAGAGGGAGAAGCCCUUGCCAGGAUGGACCUGGCAGAUCCAUAUGUUUCUUGGAAUUCUAG